rnacentral:rRNA from 1 species
UACGGGGGGGGCAAGCGUUGUUCGGAAUUACUGGGCGUAAAGGGCUCGUAGGCGGCUCGUUAAGUCGGAUGUGAAAUCCCCAGGCUCAACCUGGGAAUGGCAUCCGAGACUGGGGGGCUUGAAUCCGGGAGAGGGAUGCAGAAUUCCAGGUGUAGCGGUGAAAUGCGUAGAUAUCUGGAGGAAUACCGGUGGCGAAGGCGGCAUCCUGGACCGGCAUUGACGCUGAGGAGCGAAAGCUAGGGGAGCAAACGGG